rnacentral:rRNA from 1 species
UACGGAGGGUGCAAGCGUUAUCCGGAUUUACUGGGUUUAAAGGGUGCGUAGGUGGGCAGGUAAGUCAGUGGUGAAAUCUUCAAGCUUAACUUGGAAACUGCCAUUGAUACUAUUUGUCUUGAAUAUCCUGGAGGUAAGCGGAAUAUGUCAUGUAGCGGUGAAAUGCUUAGAUAUGACAUAGAACACCCAUUGCGAAGGCAGCUUACUACGGGAUUAUUGACACUGAGGCACGAAAGCGUGGGGAGCAAACAGG